rnacentral:rRNA from 1 species
UACGAAGGGGGCUAGCGUUGCUCGGAAUCACUGGGCGUAAAGCGCACGUAGGCGGACUCUUAAGUCAGGGGUGAAAUCCCGGGGCUCAACCUCGGAACUGCCUUUGAUACUGCAAAUCUCGAGUCCGGAAGAGGUGAGUGGAAUUCCUAGUGUAGAGGUGAAAUUCGUAGAUAUUAGGAAGAACACCAGUGGCGAAGGCGGCGACCUGGACCUGUGCUGACGCUGAGACGCGAAAGCGUGGGGAGCGAACAGG